GACGAACGCUGGCGGCGUGCUUAACACAUGCAAGUCGAACGGAAAGGCCCUGCUUUUGUGGGGUGCUCGAGUGGCGAACGGGUGAGUAACACGUGAGUAACCUGCCCUUGACUUUGGGAUAACUUCAGGAAACUGGGGCUAAUACCGGAUAGGAGCUCCUGCUGCAUGGUGGUGGUUGGAAAGUUUCGGCGGUUGUGGAUGGACUCGCGGCUUAUCAGCCUGUUGGUGGGGUAGUGGCUUACCAAGGCUUUGACGGGUAGCCGGCCUGAGAGGGUGACCGGCCACAUUGGGACUGAGAUACGGCCCAGACUCCUACGGGAGGCAGCAGUGGGGAAUAUUGCACAAUGGGCGGAAGCCUGAUGCAGCAACGCCGCGUGCGGGAUGACGGCCUUCGGGUUGUAAACCGCUUUCGCCUGUGACGAAGCGUGAGUGACGGUAAUGGGUAAAGAAGCACCGGCUAACUACGUG
rnacentral:rRNA from 1 species